rnacentral:rRNA from 1 species
UACGUAGGGGGCGAGCGUUGUCCGGAUUUAUUGGGCGUAAAGAGCUCGUAGGCGGUUUGGUAAGUUGGAUGUGAAAUCUCCAGGCUCAACUUGGAGGGGUCAUUCGAUACUGCCAUGACUAGAGUUCGGUAGGGGAGUGUGGAAUUCCUGGUGGAGCGGUGAAAUGCGCAGAUAUCAGGAGGAACACCGGUGGCGAAGGCGGUUCUCUGGGCAUUACCUGACGCUGAGGAGCGAAAGUGUGGGGAGCGAACAGG